UACGUAGGGGGCAAGCGUUAUCCGGAAUGAUUGGGCGUAAAGCGUCUGUAGGUGGCUUUUUAAGUCCGCCGUCAAAUCCCAGGGCUCAACCCUGGACAGGCGGUGGAAACUACCAAGCUGGAGUACGGUAGGGGCAGAGGGAAUUUCCGGUGGAGCGGUGAAAUGCGUAGAGAUUGGAAAGAACACCAAUGGCGAAAGCACUUUACUGGGCUAUUACUGACACUGAGAGACGAAAGCUAGGGGAGCGAAUGGG
rnacentral:rRNA from 1 species